UGAUUAAUUUCAAUUUAUUAAAAGGGAAAAGAGUUUAAAUCUCUUACGGUCCAGCCACUGUAAUGAAGAGCAAAUUUUUAUUAUACCACUGCAAAUUAUAAAUUUAAGUUUGUGGGAAGGUGAACAUUUGUGAUGAAUCUAAGUCAGGAGACCUGCCAAUAAGUU
rnacentral:ncRNA from 1 species